CAGGAGUCCCUGCUGUCCUCCUCCAGGCUUACACCAUGAGAGGGUGACUCUGAUCUCACAGGCUGUCCUAAAUUUGAGACGGAGUCUCGGUCUGUUGCCCAGGCUGGAGUGCAGAGGCGCGAUCUCAGCUCACUGCAAGCUCCGCCUCCCGGGUUCACGCCAUUCUCCUGCCUCAGCCUCCUGAGUAGCUGGGACUAGAGGUGCCCGUCACCACGCCCGGCUAAUUUUCAUAUAUUUAGUAGAGACGUGGUUUCACCACGUUGGCCGGAUGGUCGCGAUCUCCUGACCUCGUGAUCCGCCCGCGUCAGCCUCCCAAAAUGCUGGGAUUGCAGGCGUGAGCCACCGCGCCCGGCCUACACUUUCUUACACCCACUCGGAGUUCGUCUGUGGAGAGCAGCCCCUGAGAAGCAGAUGCCAAGGGGAUAGGAGGGAAGAACACUUGUGAAAGAUGAAGGGGAAAAGAAGCAUGCUUCUGUGGAAAACACUUUCAAGUUCAUUAGAUCAAACUUGUUGAGAAUGGCUGACAUCUGAGAAUCAAACCAACACUCCUCAGCAUUGAGUCAAAAAGUCACAGAAGGCAAGAGAUCCUUAUCCUUCAAGGCAAGAGAGAUGGAGCUAUUGGAAUAUUCUUUUUCCUUGAUCAAAAUAUCCUUCAUCGGGGAAAUAUUCUCUUGCAAAAAUACCACAGCUGUCUGGUAAGCCAUUUAUGACACAGCCUUAAACCCUUUGAAGAUAAAUAAAGGCACUCUUUCUAUGGAAACAAACAACCAAAGUGCUUUCUGGAAGAACUUUCUGAAUAUCAAGAUAUAACAAGAAUUAAAAAAAAAAAAAGGACUGUCGUUAUUCUUCUCAAAUUAUAUGCAUAUGGUUCCAGGGGAAGCAUAAAGAAGUGCUUUGUGGAAAAGUUUAAAUUACACAAAUAUGUACUUUUGUUUGUUUGUUUGUUUGUUUUGAGACGGAGUCUCGCUCUGUCGCCCCAGGCUGGAGUGCAGUGGUAUGAAGCAAGCUCCGCCUCCCAUGGGUUCGUGAAUGGGAGUGAAUGGGUUGACGACAUUCUCCU
rnacentral:lncRNA from 10 species